CGAGUGGCGGACGGGUGAGUAACACGUAGGUAACCUGCCCAGAAGCGGGGGACAACAUUUGGAAACAGAUGCUAAUACCGCAUAACAGCGUUGUUCGCAUGAACAACGCUUAAAAGAUGGCUUCUCGCUAUCACUUCUGGAUGGACCUGCGGUGCAUUAGCUUGUUGGUGGGGUAACGGCCUACCAAGGCGAUGAUGCAUAGCCGAGUUGAGAGACUGAUCGGCCACAAUGGGACUGAGACACGGCCCAUACUCCUACGGGAGGCAGCAGUAGGGAAUCUUCCACAAUGGGCGCAAGCCUGAUGGAGCAACACCGCGUGAGUGAAGAAGGGUUUCGGCUCGUAAAGCUCUGUUGUUAAAGAAGAACACGUAUGAGAGUAACUGUUCAUACGUUGACGGUAUUUAACCAGAAAGUCACGGCUAACUACGUGCCAGCAGCCGCGGUAAUACGUAGGUGGCAAGCGUUAUCCGGAUUUAUUGGGCGUAAAGAGAGUGCAGGCGGUUUUCUAAGUCUGAUGUGAAAGCCUUCGGCUUAAUCGGAGAAGUGCAUCGGAAACUGGAUAACUUGAGUGCAGAAGAGGGUAGUGGAACUCCAUGUGUAGCGGUGGAAUGCGUAGAUAUAUGGAAGAACACCAGUGGCGAAGGCGGCUACCUGGUCUGCAACUGACGCUGAGACUCGAAAGCAUGGGUAG
rnacentral:rRNA from 1 species